UGGGGAAUAUUGCACAAUGGGCGCAAGCCUGAUGCAGCCAUGCCGCGUGUAUGAAGAAGGCCUUCGGGUUGUAAAGUACUUUCAGCGGGGAGGAAGGCGAUAAGGUUAAUAACCUUGUCGAUUGACGUUACCCGCAGAAGAAGCACCGGCUAACUCCGUGCCAGCAGCCGCCGUAAUACGGAGGGUGCAAGCGUUAAUCGGAAUUACUGGGCGUAAAGCGCACGCAGGCGGUCUGUCAAGUCGGAUGUGAAAUCCCCGGGCUCAACCUGGGAACUGCAUUCGAAACUGGCAGGCUAGAGUCUUGUAGAGGGGGGUAGAAUUCCAGGUGUAGCGGUGAAAUGCGUAGAGAUCUGGAGGAAUACCGGUGGCGAAGGCGGCCCCCUGGACAAAGACUGACGCUCAGGUGCGAAAGCGUGGGGAGCAAACA
rnacentral:rRNA from 1 species